AGUGAACGCUGGCGGUGGGCCUAACACAUGCAAGUCGAACGAACGCACAGUGAGCGUGCUCCUUUAAGGGUGGCGGGUGGCGGGUGGGUGACGAAUGCAUAGGAUUCUUAUUAUACGUGGGGGACUACGUAGGACCACUUCCGAUACUAGCGCAUAUAUUCUACGGGUGAGAGCAGUGGUUCUUCGGGCCUUGAGUGUAAGUAUGAGCCGGUGUCGGAUUAGCUAGUUGGCGGGGUAAAGGCACACCAAGGCGACGAUCCGUAGCUGGUCUGAGAGGAUGAUCAGCGACACUGGAACUGAGACACGGUCCAGACUCCUACGGGAGGCAGCAGUGGGGAAUAUUGGACAAUGGGCGCAAGCCUGACCCAGCCAUGCCGCGUGGGUGAAGAAGGUCUUCGGGUCGUAAAGCCCUUUUGUUAGGGAAGAAAAAAAGCAUGUGAAUCCCUCACUGUAUUGACGGUACCUAAAGAGAAAGCAACGGCUAACUACGUG
rnacentral:rRNA from 1 species